UACCCGCAGCACAAGUGGUGGUCAUUAUUAUUGGGCCUAAAGCGUCCGUAGCUGGCCUGUUAGAUGCCUGGGUAAAUCGAUGCGCUCAACGCAUCGAACUCCGGGUAGACCGGCAGGCUUGGGACCGGGAGAGGCGUGAGCUACUCGGGGGGUAGGGGUAAAAUCCUGUAAUCCUCCGGGGAGGACCAGUGGCGAGGGCGUCACGCUAGAACGGCUCCGACAGUGAGGGACGAAGCCCUGGGGCGCAAACCGG
rnacentral:rRNA from 1 species